rnacentral:rRNA from 1 species
CCUACGGGUGGCAGCAGUGGGGAAUAUUGGGCAAUGGAGGCAACUCUGACCCAGCAACGCCGCGUGAAUGAUGAAGGUCUUCGGAUUGUAAAGUUCUUUUCUAAGGGAAGAAGAAAGUGACGGUACCUUAGGAAUAAGCCUCGGCUAACUACGUGCCAGCAGCCGCGGUAAUACGUAGGAGGCAAGCGUUAUCCGGAAUGACUGGGCGUAAAGGGUGCGUAGGUGGUUUGACAAGUUGGUAGCGUAACUCCGGAGCUCAACUUCGGAACUACUACCAAAACUGUUGGACUCGAGUGCAGGAGGGGCAACUGGAAUUUCUAGUGUAGCGGUGGAAUGCGUAGAUAUUAGGAAGAACACCGGUGGCGAAGGCAGCUUACCAAGCUACUUCUGACGUUGAGGCACGAAAGCGUGGGGAGCAAACAGGAUUAGAUACCCUUGUAGUC